rnacentral:rRNA from 1 species
AGGGAGGCGUAGGCGGCUGAUUAAGUCAGCGGUGAAAGGUAGCAGCUUAACUGUUUUACAUGCCGUUGAUACUGGUUAGCUUGAGUUGACAGAAGGCAGAUAGAAUUCCUGGUGUAGCGGUGAAAUGCUUAGAUACCAGGAGGAAUACCGAUUGCGAAGGCAGUCUGCUGCAGUCACACUGACGCUGAGGCUCGAAGGUGCGGGGAUCAAACAGGAUUAGAUACCCUUGU